rnacentral:rRNA from 1 species
GCUGGUCCUUCGGGGCAUUGUGCACGGAACGGUCUCUCUACUCAUCCCAUUUUUACCCCUGUGAACCUUUAGUAGGGCUUUGCGAAAGUGAAGCUCUAUGUUUUUACACACCCCUUAUGUAUGUCAUUAGAAUGUUCUGUAUCUAGUAUGCUCGCGAGGGCAGAAAGAAACAAAAAUACAACUUUCAACAACGGAUCUCUUGGCUCUCCCAUCGAUGAAGAACGCAGCGAAAUGCGAUAAGUAAUGUGAAUUGCAGAAUUCAGUGAAUCAUCGAAUCUUUGAACGCACCUUGCACCCUUUGGUAUUCCGAAGGGUAUGCCUGUUUGAGUGUCAUUAAAUUCUCAAACCUGAAUGAUUAAGUUCUUCAAGUUUGGAUCUGAGGGCUUGUCGGACUCUAACGAGGUCGACUCCCUUUAAAAGUAUUAGCGGAUUUAACCAUCGUGGAUACGCCUCGAUUUGAUAAUAUCUAUGUCGUCGCGCUGAAGCGGUAAUCUGCUCCUAACCGUCCUUUUGGGACAAACUUUAUGACAAUUUGACCUCAAAUCAGGUAGGACUACCCGCUGAACUUAAGCAUAUCAAUAAGCGGAGGAAAAGAAACUAACAAGGAUUCCCCUAGUAACUGCGAGUGAAGCGGGA